UUUGUGGUUCUAUAUUAUUUUUAAGAUUGUUUUUUCUAAGGAGAGUAUCCAGUGGGAUAUUCCCACUUGCUUAUAGUGAUUUGGUUUUUUCACUAUGUUGCUGAAUUUUGUUUGCUAGGAUUUUAUCGAGGACUUUUGCAUCUAUCUUUAUUAGAGAUAUUGUCCAUAGUUUUCUUUUUUUAUUGUGUCUUUGUCUGGUUUUGGUAUCAGGGAAUGCUUGCUUUGUAGAAUAAGUUAAGAGGUAUGGCCUUUUCUUUAUUUUUCUGAAAAGUUUGAGUAUGGAUGAUAUGUCCAUCACUGAGAAUGGGGUGUUGAAGUCCUCUACUAUUUUUGUGUUUCAGUUUAUCUCUCGCUUGACAUCUAUUAAUGUUUGCUUUAUAUGUUCUAGAGCUCCAGUGUUAUGUGUGUAUAUGUUUAGAGUUAUUAUAUCCUCUUGCUAAAUUGAUCCCUUUAUCAUUAUUUAAUGACUUUGCCUAUUUUUACGUUUUUGGUCUAAAGUCUGUUUNNNNNNNNNNUUAUCAUUAUUAAUGACUU
rnacentral:lncRNA from 1 species